rnacentral:rRNA from 1 species
UACAGAGGGUGCAAGCGUUAAUCGGAAUUACUGGGCGUAAAGCGCGCGUAGGUGGUUUGUUAAGUUGGAUGUGAAAUCCCCGGGCUCAACCUGGGAACUGCAUUCAAAACUGACAAGCUAGAGUAUGGUAGAGGGUGGUGGAAUUUCCUGUGUAGCGGUGAAAUGCGUAGAGAUCGGAAAGAACACCAACGGCGAAAAGCACUCUGCUGGGGCCGAACACUGACACUGAGAGACGAAAGCUAGGGGGAGCAAAUGGG